rnacentral:rRNA from 1 species
GAUGAACGCUAGCUACAGGCUUAACACAUGCAAGUCGAGGGGUAACGAGAGGAAAGCUUGCUUUCCUUGUCGACGACCGGCGCACGGGUGAGUAACGCGUAUCCAACCUGCCCCCAACUAGGGAAUAACCUUGCGAAAGUAAGACUAAUACCCUAUAAUUUCCUCAGAUGUCAUCUGACGAGGAAUAAAGAUUUAUCGGUUGUGGAUGGGGAUGCGUCUGAUUAGCUUGUUGGCGGGGUAACGGCCCACCAAGGCAACGAUCAGUAGGGGUUCUGAGAGGAAGGGCCCCCACAUUGGAACUGAGACACGGUCCAAACUCCUACGGGAGGCAGCAGUGAGGAAUAUUGGUCAAUGGGCGGAAGCCUGAACCAGCCAAGUAGCGUACAGGAUGACGGCCCUAUGGGUUGUAAACUGCUUUUAUACAGGAAUAAAGUUAGCCACGUGUGGUUAUUUGUAGGUACUGUAUGAAUAAGGACCGGCUAAUUCCGUGCCAGCAGCCGCAGUAA